AUCAUGGCUCAGAUUGAACGCUGGCGGCAGGCCUAACACAUGCAAGUCGAACGGUAACAGGAAGCAGCUUGCUCUUUGCUGACGAGUGGCGGACGGGUGAGUAAUGUCUGGGAAACUGCCUGAUGGAGGGGGAUAACUACUGGAAACGGUAGCUAAUACCGCAUAACGUCGCAAGACCAAAGAGGGGGACCUUCGGGCCUCUUGCCAUCGGAUGUGCCCAGAUGGGAUUAGCUAGUAGGUGGGGUAACGGCUCACCUAGGCGACGAUCCCUAGCUGGUCUGAGAGGAUGACCAGCCACACUGGAACUGAGACACGGUCCAGACUCCUACGGGAGGCAGCAGUGGGGAAUAUUGCACAAUGGGCGCAAGCCUGAUGCAGCCAUGCCGCGUGUAUGAAGAAGGCCUUCGGGUUGUAAAGUACUUUCAGCGGGGAGGAAGGGAGUAAAGUUAAUACCUUUCUCAUUGACGUUACCCGCAGAAGAAGCACCGGGCUAACCC
rnacentral:rRNA from 1 species